GCGGCGGACGGGUGAGUUAACACGUGGGUGAUCUGCCCUGCACUUCGGGAUAAGCCUGGGAAACUGGGUCUAAUACCGGAUAGGAGCCAUUUUUAGUGUGAUGGUUGGAAAGUUUUUUCGGUGUAGGAUGAGCUCGCGGCCUAUCAGCUUGUUGGUGGGGUAAUGGCCUACCAAGGCGGCGACGGGUAGCCGGCCUGAGAGGGUGGACGGCCACAUUGGGACUGAGAUACGGCCCAGACUCCUACGGGAGGCAGCAGUGGGGAAUAUUGCACAAUGGGCGCAAGCCUGAUGCAGCGACGCCGCGUGGGGGAUGACGGCCUUCGGGUUGUAAACUCCUUUCGCUAGGGACGAAGCUUUUUGUGACGGUACCUAGAUAAGAAGCACCGGCUAACUACGUGCCAGCAGCCGCGGUAAUACGUAGGGUGCGAGCGUUGUCCGGAAUUACUGGGCGUAAAGGGCUCGUAGGUGGUUUGUCGCGUCGUCUGUGAAAUUCCGGGGCUUAACUCCGGGCGUGCAGGCGAUACGGGCAUAACUUGAGUACUGUAGGGGUAACUGGAAUUCCUGGUGUAGCGGUGAAAUGCGCAGAUAUCAGGAGGAACACCGAUGGCGAAGGCAGGUUACUGGGCAGUUACUGACGCUGAGGAGCGAAAGCAUGGGUAGCGAACAGGAUUAGAUACCCUGGUAGUCCAUGCCGUAAACGGUGGGCGCUAGGUGUGAGGGUCUUUUCACGACCUUCGUGCCGUAGCUAACGCAUUAAGCGCCCCGCCUGGGGAGUACGCCGC
rnacentral:rRNA from 1 species